AUUGAACGCUGGCGGCAGGCCUAACACAUGCAAGUCGAGCGGAUGAAGGGAGCUUGCUCCUGGAUUCAGCGGCGGACGGGUGAGUAAUGCCUAGGAACCUGCCUGGCAGUGGGGGAUAACGUCCGGAAACGGGCGCUAAUACGGCAUACGCCCUGAGGGAGAACGUGGGGGAUCUUCGGACCUUACGCUAUCAGAUGAGCCUAGGUCGGAUUAGCUAGUUGGUGGGGUAAAGGCCUACCAAGGCGACGAUCCGUAGCUGGUCUGAGAGGAUGAUCAGUCACACUGGAACUGAGACACGGUCCAGACUCCUACGGGAGGCAGCAGUGGGGAAUAUUGGACAAUGGGCGAAAGCCUGAUCCAGCCAUGCCGCGUGUGUGAAGAAGGUCUUCGGAUUGUAAAGCACUUUUGGUUGGGAAGAAGAGCAGUAAGUUAAUACCUUGCUGUUUUGACGUUACCAACAGAAUAAGCACCGGCUAACUUCGUG
rnacentral:rRNA from 1 species